GUACACUCCUGCGGGAGGCAGCAGUGGGGAAUUUUGGACAAUGGGGGCAACCCUGAUCCAGCAAUGCCGCGUGAGUGAAGAAGGCCUUCGGGUUGUAAAGCUCUUUUGUCAGGGAAGAAACGGUGGUGGCGAAUAACUACUACUAAUGACGGUACCUGAAGAAUAAGCACCGGCUAACUACGUGCCAGCAGCCGCGGUAAUACGUAGGGUGCAAGCGUUAAUCGGAAUUACUGGGCGUAAAGCGUGCGCAGGCGGUUGUGUAAGUCAGAUGUGAAAUCCCCGGGCUCAACCUGGGAAUUGCAUUUGAGACUGCACGGCUAGAGUGUGUCAGAGGGGGGUAGAAUUCCACGUGUAGCAGUGAAAUGCGUAGAUAUGUGGAGGAAUACCGAUGGCGAAGGCAGCCCCCUGGGAUAACACUGACGCUCAUGCACGAAAGCGUGGGGAGCAAACAGGAUUAGAUACCCGUGUAGUCCCAUGAU
rnacentral:rRNA from 1 species